rnacentral:misc_RNA from 1 species
CCCAAAGGCCGCCCAAAACUUGGGCGCGCCUUUAUCCUAUACCCUUGUGUUUGCUGACCACUUGUCCUGUCCCUUCGGCUUAGGGUGAUUCCGGCCGAAGGGGCACCCCGAUAAACCUCUUGUCGAAAGCCGUUUUCUUUCUGAUUGUGGGAAACAACGAACCGAUAAUA